rnacentral:rRNA from 1 species
CAAUAGCGUAUAUUUAAGUUGCUGCAGUUAAAAAGCUCGUAGUUGGAUUUCGGGUGGGAAUGGCCGGUCCGCCGUUUCGGUGUGCACUUGCUACGCCCACCUUGCUGCCGGGGACGUGCUCUUGAGUUCACGCUCGGGACACGGAGUCGGCGAGGUUACUUUGAGUAAAUUAGAGUGUUCAAAGCAGGCCUACGCUCUGAAUACAUUAGCAUGGAAUAACACGAUAGGACUCUGGCCUAUCUUGUUGGUCUGUAGGACCGGAGUAAUGAUUAAGAGGGACAGUCGGGGGCAUUCGUAUUUCAUUGUCAGAGGUGAAAUUCUUGGAUUUAUGGAAGAUGAACUACUGCGAAAGCAUUUACCAAGGAUGUUUUCAUUAA